rnacentral:lncRNA from 1 species
GUCCUGUGAUGACCUGUGGCGGAAGGUAAACCGAAGGUGACUGCGGUUAACGUCCUCGAUGGGAAUGGCCACCUUCAAGAAUUGAAAAAGAAGUUUAAGCACUGUUAUCAAUAUCAUCCAGCGUAACAGCUUUAUUCAACUGGAGCUAUCAGAGCCAACCCCUGGCCUGGUUUUCAAAUAUUCAAGCUCUUGGCGGUGAGACGGUGUUUACUCCAUCGUGGAGAUGUGAGCACGCUGCAUUAUGAAAAGGCACCAUAUCAGAGCUACAGAACAGGAUCCCACUCCCCAGCAAUGACCUCCACAGGCUGGCAGCUCGGUUUUUUUGUUUGGUGUAAAGACAGCAUGCCACACAUAAAACAGUACUGGGAAGAGAAAGACAAUAGCUAUCUUAAAAAGACUCUGUCAUUUGUCUCCAUGAACGUCCUAUUUUUACGUCCAAAAGGAGAUGAGAGUAAAUGUAUUCUAAGAAACACCA